UACGGGGGGGGCAAGCGUUGUUCGGAAUUACUGGGCGUAAAGGGCUCGUAGGUGGCCAACUAAGUCAGACGUGAAAUCCCUCAGCUUAACUGGGGAACUGCGUCUGAUACUGGAUGGCUUGAGUUUGGGAGAGGGAUGCGGAAUUCCAGGUGUAGCGGUGAAAUGCGUAGAGAUCAGGAGGAACACCCGUGGCGAGGGCGGGUCUCUGGGCCGAUACUGACGCUGAGGAGCGAAAGCGUGGGGAGCGAACAGG
rnacentral:rRNA from 1 species